rnacentral:rRNA from 1 species
UACGUAGGCAGCAAGCGUUGUUCGGAAUUACUGGGCGGAGAGAGUGUGUAGGCGGUGUUCCAAGUCUGGUGUGAAAGCCCUGGGCUUAACCUAGGAAGAGCAUUCGAAACUCCCGGGCUUGAGUUCUGGAGAGGAAGGCGGAAUUCUCGGUGUAGAGGUGAAAUUCGUAGAUAUCGAGAGGAACACCGGUGGCGAAGGCGGCCUUCUGGACAGUGACUGACGCUGAGACGCGAAAGCGUGGGGAGCAAACAGG